rnacentral:lncRNA from 1 species
CACAGCUCCCCGUACUGGUGCCGCCGCAGUAGCCAAGUUGCGACACUGCCCACGGCCCCUCCCUCUGAUGCAGAUUCAGGGCUUCUCUUCGAUCAUGUUGGGUUUUGAUUCUGUUUUUCCUUGACUGCAAAACCCUCUUUCCUCUCCUCUUUUGGGACAAGAGCCCUGGUUUUCUACGCUGCCCUUGGCCACCACACUGCCUGCCCCACGAGCUGGGAGGCAGGUUUUGUACAGUACGUUGUUAUUGAUAUGAUAUAAAACAUCAAACGUCAAAAA